CGGAGCUGUAUGCGGGGAAACUCGCACGUACAGUUCUUAAUGGGGAAUGCGGCGGUAACGCCGCAAACCUACAUAAC
rnacentral:ncRNA from 1 species